GGAAUAUAAAAACUCGUCUCUUAACUUUUAACUAAAAAAGUUAAGAACUAAUUCUUAAAUAGAAGUUUUAAGAGCUGAUUCUUAACUUUUUUAGUUAAAAGUUAAGAGACGGGUUUUUAUACUUC
rfam:Brassica napus, WGS project CCCW01000000 data, contig: 16034